rnacentral:rRNA from 1 species
GAUGAACGCUGGCGGCGUGCCUAAUACAUGCAAGUCGAGCGAACGGACGAGAAGCUUGCUUCUCUGAUGUUAGCGGCGGACGGGUGAGUAACACGUGGAUAACCUACCUAUAAGACUGGGAUAACUUCGGGAAACCGGAGCUAAUACCGGAUAAUAUUUUGAACCGCAUGGUUCAAAAGUGAAAGACGGUCUUGCUGUCACUUAUAGAUGGAUCCGCGCUGCAUUAGCUAGUUGGUAAGGUAACGGCUUACCAAGGCAACGAUGCAUAGCCGACCUGAGAGGGUGAUCGGCCACACUGGAACUGAGACACGGUCCAGACUCCUACGGGAGGCAGCAGUAGGGAAUCUUCCGCAAUGGGCGAAAGCCUGACGGAGCAACGCCGCGUGAGUGAUGAAGGUCUUCGGAUCGUAAAACUCUGUUAUUAGGGAAGAACAUAUGUGUAAGUAACUGUGCACAUCUUGACGGUACCUAAGCAGAAGCCACGGCUAACUACGUG